GUUCACUUUGGCGCACAUAUACUAAAAGUGGAACAAUACAGAGAAGACCGAAUGGCCCCUGCACAAGGAUAACAGGCAAAUUCACGAAGUGUUCAAAGAUAAA
ensembl:snRNA U6 U6 spliceosomal RNA